rnacentral:tRNA from 1 species
UUUUGCAGCUCAGUGGUAGAGCACUUGACUAGUAUGUUCAAGGUCCUGGAUUCCAUUCCCAGUGCUGUAAACA